rnacentral:rRNA from 1 species
AUGGACUUGUUGGCCUUUUCGACCGGUGAAUUUCAUAUCAAAUUUCACCUACCAAACAGGGCUGAUAAUUUUACAUGGAGCCUGGUCGCAGUCUAUGGGGUUGCCCAAGAUGAGCAUAAAUCCGCUUUCCUUCGUGAACUGGUGAAUCUGGCUAAGGAUAACCACCCGUACCCAAUGCUUAUUGGAGGGGAUUUCAAUAUCCUUAGCUACCAGGAGGAAAAAAAUAAUGACCGCUUCGACGCUCACUGGCCUUUCCUAUUCAAUGUUGUGAUUGAUAGUUUGGACCUUCGGGAGGCUUGUAUGUCGGGGCGGCAGUUCACUUGGGCUAAUAACCGUUCUGUGCCAACGUACGAGAAGCUCGAUAGGGUAUUCAUGGAUACCGAAUGGGAGCUAAAAUUUCCUAUGGUAACCGUACGAGCCCUAGAGAGAAUCGAGGCAUUAUCGGAUCAUGCACCAAUCAUUCUUGAUUCUAAUUCUACGAGCCAUUCUUCCCGCCACCCUUUCAAAUUUGAAUUGGCAUGGCUGCACCGGGAAGGUUUUGUAGAAAUAAUCAAGAAAGUUUGGGAGAGGCCAGCCAUUGGUCGUACACCGAUUCAGAGAUGGAAUUAUAAGAUAAGGGCCAUGAGGCAACACCUCUCUGGAUGGGCGAAACACAUCAAUGGGUUAUAUAAAAAAGAAAAGCAGCGCCUUUGUACCAUCAUUGAUGACCUCGACAAAAUUGCAGAGACCCGCACCUUAUCUCAACAUGAGAUUGAAUUGAAAAAUCAAUCUACUGAGAAGGUUGCCCGUCUUCUGCGAGAAGAGGAGAUCAAAUACUACCAAAGGUCCAAAGCUGACUUCAUUCUAAUGGGAGAUAGUAAUACAAGAUACUUCCAAUUGCUCGCCAAUGGUCGACAUAGGAAGAAAUGUAUUCAUAGUCUCCAACAGGAUGAAGGGCGGAUCAAAGGUCAAAGGGAGCUCAAAAACUAUAUCACCAACUACUACAAAUCUCUGUUCGGAGCGUCUGAUGAAGGAAAUGUCACCCUUGACGAGACCCGAACAGAUGAUAUUCCACAAGUCACGGCAGAAGAGAAUGACAUCCUCACGGCACCUUUCUCAGAAGAGGAGGUGAGAGCGGCGGUGUUCCAAAUGGAACACAACAAAGCUCCAGGCCCUGAUGGUUUCCCCACAGAAUUCUAUCAGAAUUUCUGGGAUAUCAUCAAGGCUGGCCUUUUGGAGUUGUUCAAUUGUCUUAAUGCCAAUCGACUUGAUCUAUUCAGAAUAAAUUUUGGCGAGAUUUUUUUGUUGCCGAAGAUUAAGGAGGCUGAACGGAUUCAG